rnacentral:rRNA from 1 species
UGGGGAAUAUUGGACAAUGGGCGGAAGCCUGAUCCAGCAACGCCGCGUGAGGGAUGACGGCCUUCGGGUUGUAAACCUCUUUCGCCUGUGACAAAGCGAUCCUUUUGGUGAGUGACGGUAACAGGUAAAGAAGCACCGGCCAACUACGUGCCAGCAGCCGCGGUAAUACGUAGGGUGCGAGCGUUGUCCGGAAUUAUUGGGCGUAAGGGGCUCGUAGGCGGUUUGUCGCGUCGGGAGUGAAAACCAGGUGCUUAACACCUGGCUUGCUUUCGAUACGGGCAGACUAGAGGUAUGCAGGGGAGAACGGAAUUCCUGGUGUAGCGGUGAAAUGCGCAGAUAUCAGGAGGAACACCGGUGGCGAAGGCGGUUCUCUGGGCAUGACCUGACGCUGAGGAGCGAAAGUGUGGGGAGCGAA